CCAAGCCAUCGGCAGAGUCAUCCGGCACAGGCAGGACUACGGUGCCAUCUUCCUCUGCGAUCACAGGUUCGCCAAUAUGGAUACCAAAGCCCAGCUGCCUUCCUGGGUGCGUCCUUAUGUCAAGACUUACGAUAAUUUUGGGCACGUGGUCAGAGAUGUGUCUCAAUUCUUCCGUGUUGCACAGAAGAUUAUGCCCCCUCCGCCAUCCCGUGCUCCCUCUUGCACUUCCGCGGAAGAGAAAGAGGCCUCCACAUCUUCUGCUUCAUCCGAACC